GCGCGCAAAGAAAUCCAAUAUGGCGGUCAAAACAUUGGAGAGUGGAACAUACGACAUGUUCUGAUUUUUUGCUGUUGUCAUUAAAACAAACGCUUCAAAUUGAUGAAAAUUUCACACAUUACAGUGAGUACUCCGAGAAAUCUGAGACCAGAACCGACAUCAUACGGACAGACUGGGAUACCAUGUGGUAACCCUCAGAGGUACAAGAGUAGGGGUGUGACCCGCAUGUGUCGACAUGACGCAGUACCCUAUGAAGACCAGCGGCUGGGAGAACCAGGCGAGGGGACAGAGACAGAGGCAGAGCAGCAGCUGAAACGUAUGCUUCAAAAUCAGCUGGACACAGACGUCACACUCGAAAGUCAAAAGAAGAAGCAAAAGACCUUCACAAGCUCUUCCACAUACAACAGCUGUAACCCUGAUGCUACUGGAACCCUCAGCCUAAGAGCUUACCAGUCCCUUGAGGAGAGGAGUGAAUAUGAGGAAAAGCUACGUCAGUAUGGACUCACAGAUGAUGAGAUCAAAUACAAGCUUGAACUUAAGGGCAUGGUACCCAAAGAAGCCAAGAGGUCAAAUUAUGGAGCUGAUCCAUUAGCAGAAAAGCAGCGUCUUGAAGAGCUCAAGAAAAAGAUUGAGGACAAGGAAAAGGCCCUGUCUGCACCAGACUCAUUUUCCAAUGUGCAUUUGCUGUCCCGGCAUGCAAUGGAGGUGGAGAUGUCCCUUAACCGAGGUACUGAAAGGGCCAAAGACUUUAAGCAUCUAGUUCAAGUCAGCAGUACAGUGGACUGCGAUAAUGACCCAGUAUUGCAAACAUUACUGAGCAAUACUCAUCUAUUGGGAGAUCGCACUAGUCUACCCAAAAUUCACCGCCCCCCGUCUAGUAAGAAGACAACGCUUACUGAGGAAGGCAACAACCCCGAAUGUGUCGAGUUGUCAUCCUCUUACAGCAAGACAUGUCUUGGUGAGGCUACCAAAAACACUUUUGUGUUACCGGAGAUCACUAGUAUCGAAGAGAGUGAGAUUUUGCACAACAGAUUGAGUAUAGACGAGAUUAAACAGAUUCCGAGGUUCAAGGACUACGCCCCUGGGGAACCCAGUAAGACGCUGUUUCUCAAGAACCUCAGUAACAAGGUGAAAGAGGAAGAUCUGAUCCGGCUUUUCCUCCGUUUCCAGCAGAAUGGUGCACCCAAACUGGUAUUCCGGCUGAUGAAGGGGCGCAUGAAAGGGCAAGCGUUCGUCACAUUCCCAGGUGAGGGUCUUUAGUCGCGCAUGCAACCACUAAGCUGCUUUUUGCCGAUGAACUGAGUGUCUUGCCGACAAGAUUCAGAAGUUGCAAUUAAGGCUCACUCGCUUGUAAACGGCUAUCGCCUCAAAGGAAGGCCCGUUAUAAUAGAAUUCGGGAGAAAACGCGAGAAAGCCCAACAACGAGACUCCGAGAUUCAUCUUAACUGAGGUGCAGUCGCCAGCAAGUGUUACAAGUGCAAAGACUAC